rnacentral:rRNA from 1 species
UACGGAGGAUCCGAGCGUUAUCCGGAUUUAUUGGGUUUAAAGGGUGCGUAGGCGGACUUGCAAGUCAGCUGUAAAAGUUUACGGCUCAACCGUGUAAUUGCAUUUGAUACUGUUGGUCUUGAGUAUAAAUGAGGUGGGCGGAAUUUGUGGUGUAGCGGUGAAAUGCUUAGAUAUCAAAAAGAACACCAAUGGCGAAGGCAGCUCACUGGGGUAUAACUGACGCUGAUGCACGAAGGUGUGGGUAUCAAACAGG